rnacentral:rRNA from 1 species
UACGUAGGGUGCGAGCGUUAAUCGGAAUUACUGGGCGUAAAGCGUGCGCAGGCGGCGCGUUAAGACAGGUGUGAAAGCCCCCGAGCUUAACUUGGGAAUUGCGCGUUUGGCGACUGGCGUGCUGGAGUGUGGCAGAGGGAGGUGGAAAUUCCACGUGUAGCAGUGAAAUGCGUAGAGGAUGAUGGGAGGAACACCGGAUGGCG